rnacentral:rRNA from 1 species
AUGGCUUGUGUUAAGUCUGUCAAAUAUUCUGUCAAGUUCAAUGGAAAAUUGCUUGAGAAGUUUACCCCCUCCCGGGGGCUUAGGCAAGGUGAUCCCCUGUCUCCCUUCCUAUUUCUUUUUGUAGCUGAUGCGUUGUCCGCUCUGUUAUCAAAAUCAGUUAACGAGGGAGAGCUCAAGGGGGUCUCUAUUUGUCGAGGAGCACCGGUACUAUCUCAUCUGCUGUUCGCGGACGAUACUAUGUUGCUGUUUGAAGCGACGGGCCACCAAGCGAGCUUUGUCAAGGGUUUGUUGAACACGUAUUCCAGGGCGACGGGGCAACUUAUUAAUCCCGACAAGUGUUUCAUCCUUUUCUCGGACAAUUGCAUUGAUUCAGUGGCAGUGGAGAUAAAGAACAUUUUGGAAGUUACGGAACAAGUAUUUGAGCCAAAGUAUUUAGGCCUACCUGUACCGGAGGGAAGGGUACAUAAAGGGCAAUUCAAAACCGUGCAAGACAGGCUGCGCAAGAGACUAGUUGAUUGGAGCGAACAAUAUGUGUCCUCAGGCAACAAGGAAAUUUUAAUUAAAGAAGUGGCUCAAGCAAUACCGACUUAUGUGAUGAGUGUCUUUCGCCUGCCGACAUCCGUUUAUGAUGAUUUGACUCAGAUGAUGAGACAGUAUUGGUGGGGAGUGGAGAACGGUAAAAGGAAGAUGGCUUGGCUCAGUUGGGAGAAGAUGAUUCUACCCAAAGAUAUGGGAGGGAUGGGGUUUAGAGAUAUGCGGGCGUUCAACCAGGCGUUGCUAGCUAAGCAGGCUUGGAGGCUACUAGACUGCCCUGACAGCCUGUGCGCUCGACUGCUUCGGUCCAAAUAUUACCCGAAUGGUAAUCUACUGGACACAGUUUUCCCCUCUAGCUCGUCUACAGUCUAG